rnacentral:rRNA from 1 species
UACGAGGGGGGCAAAUGUUGUUCGGAAUCACUGGGCGUAAAGGGAGCGUAGGCGGGUUUCUAAGUCAGGUGUUUAAUCCCGGGGCCCAACCCCGGACAGGCACUUGAAACUGGAAAUCUUGAAUAGUGGAGAGGUCAGUGGAAUUGGGGGUGUAGCGGUGGAAUGCGUAGAGAUCCCCAAGAACACCAGUUGCGAAGGCGGCUGACUGGACACAUAUUGACGCUGAGGUUCGAAAGCAUGGGGAGCAAACAGG